GCGACUAAGCGUACACGGUGGAUGCCCUGGCAGUCAGAGGCGAUGAAGGACGUGCUAAUCUGCGAUAAGCGCCGGUAAGGUGAUAUGAACCGUUAUAACCGGCGAUUUCCGAAUGGGGAAACCCAGUGUGAUUCGUCACACUAUCAUUAACUGAAUCCAUAGGUUAAUGAGGCGAACCGGGGGAACUGAAACAUCUAAGUACCCCGAGGAAAAGAAAUCAACCGAGAUUCCCCCAGUAGCGGCGAGCGAACGGGGAGGAGCCCAGAGCCUGAAUCAGCAUGUGUGUUAGUGGAAGCGUCUGGAAAGGCGCGCGAUACAGGGUGACAGCCCCGUACACAAAAGCGCAUGUGCUGUGAGCUCGAUGAGUAGGGCGGGACACGUGGUAUCCUGUCUGAAUAUGGGGGGACCAUCCUCCAAGGCUAAAUACUCCUGACUGACCGAUAGUGAACCAGUACCGUGAGGGAAAGGCGAAAAGAACCCCGGCGAGGGGAGUGAAAAAGAACCUGAAACCGUGU
rnacentral:rRNA from 1 species